CCUACGGGGAGCAGCAGUGGGGGAUAUUGCACAAUGGGGGAAACCCUGAUGCAGCGACGCCGCGUGAGUGAAGAAGUAUUUCGGUACGUAAAGCUCUAUCAGCAGGGAAGAAAAUGACAGUACCUGACCAAGAAGCCCCGGCUGACUACGUGCCAGCAGCCGCGGUAAAACGUAGGGCGCGAGCGUGAGGUGGAUUUACUGGGUGGAAAGGGAGCGUAGACGGUUAUGUAAGUCUGGAGUGAAAGCCCGGGGCCCAACCCCGGGACUGCUUUGGAAACUGGGUAACUGGAGUGCAGGAGGGGCAGGCGGAAUUCCGGGUGUAGCGGUGAAAUGCGUAGAUAUCAGGAGGAACACCGGCGGCGAAGGCGGCCUGCUGGACUGAAACUGACGUUGAGGCUCGAAAGCGUGGGGAGCAAACAGGAUUAGAUACCCUGGUAGUC
rnacentral:rRNA from 1 species